rnacentral:rRNA from 1 species
UGGAGCCAACCUUGAAAUACCACCCUUUAAUGUUUGAUGUUCUAACGUAGACCCGUGAUCCGGGUUGCGGACAGUGUCUGGUGGGUAGUUUGACUGGGGCGGUCUCCUCCCAAAGAGUAACGGAGGAGCACGAAGGUUAGCUAAUCCUGGUCGGACAUCAGGAGGUUAGUGCAAUGGCAUAAGCUAGCUUGACUGCGAGCGUGACGGCGCGAGCAGGUGCGAAAGCAGGUCAUAGUGAUCCGGUGGUUCUGAAUGGAAGGGCCAUCGCUCAACGGAUAAAAGGUACUCCGGGGAUAACAGGCUGAUACCGCCCAAGAGUUCAUAUCGACGGCGGUGUUUGGCACCUCGAUGUCGGCUCAUCACAUCCUGGGGCUGAAGUAGGUCCCAAGGGUAUGGCUGUUCGCCAUUUAAAGUGGUACGCGAGCUGGGUUUAGAACGUCGUGAGACAGUUCGGUCCCUAUCUGCCGUGGGCGCUGGAGAAUUGAGGGGGGCUGCUCCUAGUACGAGAGGACCGGAGUGGACGCAUCACUGGUGUUCGGGUUGUCAUGCCAAUGGCAUUGCCCGGUAGCUAAAUGCGGAAAAGAUAAGUGCUGAAAGCAUCUAAGCACGAAACUUGCCCCGAGAUGAGUUCUCCCUGACUCCUUGAGAGUCCUGAAGGAACGUUGAAGACGACGACGUUGAUAGGUCGGGUGUGUAAGCGUAGCGAUACGUUGAGCUAACCGAUACUAAUGAACCGUGAGGCUUAACCUU